UCUAUUCUUCUUUAACUGAAACCAGUCUGAGGAUAUGGCUGAGGCUGAGUCUCUGAAUUCCUAGUACACAUCUGCCUCUUACAUAGUCAGGCCCAGUUAGAGGAGUUGAAAUGUUUUCUUCCUUUGGAGCAACAGAAGCAUAUGCUGUCCAAAUGUCCUUAUGUAUCUCAGGGUGAGCAGCCGAGAGAGCAGGACUGCGUGUCCUACCCAGCAUCCACUUCAGUCCUGAAUUCCUCAGGCCUGUUUCCUCAACUAUAAAGCAGCCUCCUGCAUACCAGGAUUAUGCAACCAC